GCAAAUACCAAAACUGAAAGAUCUACACAUACUUUUACACAGAACCAACAUUUGGGCUUAUACGACAGUCACUGGAGUUAUGGGCGCCGUAUUGUUGGAUCCCACUGACAAAGCCGACGUCGCAGCCCUAGUCGGGGAAAACGAAGCCGGGAAUGAAUUUAAGAAGCAAAUGUACACCAGCGCCAGAUUUCGAAGGCACGCUGAGGUUAUCCUGCCGUGGCUGUUCAAUCGCGGCGUGUUGGAGUGCUGAACAUACAUAUGUAUGUAUGUAUGUACAUAUCACACUAUAAAUACAAAAUAAUCGAAGACCUAAACUUU